rnacentral:rRNA from 1 species
AGCAGCCGCGGUAAUUCCAGCUCCAAUAGCGUAUAUUAAAGUUGUUGCAGUUAAAAAGCUCGUAGUUGAAUUUCGGGAUCAAAUUGUCGGUCGUGCUUCGGUACGCACUGGCAUUAUUGGUUUCUACCUUCUGAAGAACCGCGAUGUCAUUAAUUUGGUGUCGUGGGGAAUCAGGACUGUUACUUUGAAAAAAUUAGAGUGUUUAAAGCAGGCGCACGCUUGAAUACAUUAGCAUGGAAUAAUGAAAUAGGACGUUUGAUUCUAUUUUGUUGGUUUCUAGGAUCGACGUAAUGAUUAAUAGGGAUAGUUGGGGGCAUUAGUAUUCAAUUGUCAGAGGUGAAAUUCUUGGAUUUAUUGAAGACUAACUACUGCGAAAGCAUUUGCCAAGGAUGUUUUCAUUAAUCAAGAACGAAAGUUAGGGGAUCGAAGACGAUCAGAUACCGUCGUAGUCUUAACCAUAAACUAUGCCGACUAGGGAUCGGAUGAUGUUAAUUUUUAAUGACUCA